rnacentral:rRNA from 1 species
UACGUAGGGGGCAAGCGUUGUCCGGAAUCAUUGGGCGUAAAGAGCGUGUAGGCGGCUCGAUAAGUCCGCUGUGAAAGUCCAGGGCUCAACCCUGGAAGGCCGGUGGAAACUGUCGGGCUAGAGUCCGGAAGAGGCGAGUGGAAUUCCCGGUGUAGCGGUGAAAUGCGCAGAUAUCGGGAGGAACACCAAUGGCGAAGGCAGCUCGCUGGGACGGUACUGACGCUGAGACGCGAAAGCGUGGGUAGCAAACGAGG